GGCGAACGCUGGCGGCGUGCUUAACACAUGCAAGUCGAACGGAAAGGCCCUGCUUUUGUGGGGUGCUCGAGUGGCGAACGGGUGAGUAACACGUGAGUAACCUGCCCUUGACUUUGGGAUAACUUCAGGAAACUGGGGCUAAUACCGGAUAGGAGCUCCUGCUGCAUGGUGGGGGUUGGAAAGUUUCGGCGGUUGGGGAUGGACUCGCGGCUUAUCAGCUUGUUGGGUGGGUAGUGGCUUACCAAGGCUUUGACGGGUAGCCCGCCUGAGAGGGUGACCGGCCACAUUGGGACUGAGAGACGGCCCAGCAGCCUACGGGAGGCAGCAGUGGGGAAUAUGGCACAAUGGGCGGAAGCCUGAUGCAGCAACGCCGCGUGCGGGAUGACGGCCUUCGGGUUGUAAACCGCUUUCGCCUGUGACGAAGCGUGAGUGACGGUAAUGGGUAAAGAAGCACCGGCUAACUACGUG
rnacentral:rRNA from 1 species